UACGUAGGGUGCGAGCGUUAAUCGGAAUUACUGGGCGUAAAGGGCGCGUAGGCGGCCUGUUAAGUCGAACGUGAAAUCCCCGGGCUCAACCCGGGAACUGCGUCCGAUACUGGCAGGCUUGAAUCCGGGAGAGGGAUGUGGAAUUCCAGGUGUAGCGGUGAAAUGCGUAGAUAUCUGGAGGAACACCGGUGGCGAAGGCGGCAUCCUGGACCGGUAUUGACGCUGAGGCGCGAAAGCCAGGGGAGCAAACGGG
rnacentral:rRNA from 1 species